rnacentral:rRNA from 1 species
UACGGGGGGAGCAAGCGUUGUUCGGAUUUACUGGGCGUAAAGGGCGCGUAGGCGGCCAGCGCAAGUCAGUGGUGAAAUCUCCGGGCUUAACUCGGAACGGUCAACUGAUACUGCGCGGCUAGAGUGCAGAAGGGGCAACUGGAAUUCUCGGUGUAGCGGUGAAAUGCGUAGAUAUCGAGAGGAACACCUGCGGCGAAGGCGGGUUGCUGGGCUGACACUGACGCUGAUGCGCGAAAGCCAGGGGAGCGAACGGG